rnacentral:misc_RNA from 1 species
GGAAGGAUCAUUACAAAUCCACACGUCUCUCUUUUGAGACCACGUUGAAACGUUUCCCAGCCAGGUGCGCGCGCUCCCUCACAGGACGCAAACAACUGUCUGGGCUUUUAAACUAGUGUUUCCUGUUGCUCAAUUGUAUGAUUGUCUUGACGCCCUUGCGGCUAAAGAUGAAUAACAACAAAGUACAACUUAUAACAAUGGAUCUCUAGGCUCUUGCAUCGAUGAAGAACGCAGCCAAACGCGAAAUGUGUUAUGACUUGCAAUCUUCGCGAAUCAUUUAAUCUUUGAACGCAACUUGCACCCUCGGGCUUGACCCUUGGGUAUACUUGUUUGAGUAUCGUCUAUGCUCUCACCAUACACGCACGGAUCUUGUAUCUGUGUGUCCCUGGUGGACUUGAGGCGUAGCACCUUGCCGUGCUUGCCUUUAAACGCAUGCGCCCUGCUUCAACAUGAGUCAGGUCUUGCCUGGACGCCUCGUGCGUCUAGGAGCCAACUUGGGAUAACGUCCAUCAAGUUUGGUUACCUCUCUGUUGUACUUUGGCAAUGAUCUCUCUUUGGGGGUCCUUGCGCAGGCACAUAUGAACGCGCUUCGGGCUGCCUCACGGCGGUCCUGUCGUGCAACGUACCUUGACGUACCGAUCUCAAAUCAAGUAAGAUUACCCGCUGAACUUAAGCAUAUCAGUAAGCGGAGGAAAAGAAACUAACAAGGAUUCCCUCAGUAACGGCGAGUGAACCGGGAAAAGCUCAAAUUUGGAAUCUGGCAUCCGUGAGGGUGUCCGAAUUGUCAUUAAAAGGGCUCGUUUGUGCCGACCGGAAGAGUCAAAGUCCCUUGGAACAGGGCGCCAGAGAGGGUGACAGCCCCGUCCUGGCUCUUCGACACGGAAGGCAGUACCAAGCGGGCCCAACGAGUCGGAUAGUUUGGGAAUGCUGUCCUAAAUGGGUGAUACAUGUCAUCUAAAGCUAAAUAUCAGCAAGAGACCGAUAGCAAACAAGUACCGUGAGGGAAAGAUGAAAAGAACUUUGAAAAGAGAGUUAAAAGUACGUGAAAUUGUUAUAAGGGAAACGAUUCACUCGGCGCCAGGACCGGGCCUUCCAGGGUGAGCUUCGGCUCGCUCGUACCAGGCCCGGACCCGGUUGAUCCGCUUGAGGCGGCCCGCAAACGCCUCCUGGGAAGGUGGCUCUCCCGAAAGGGAGACGCUUUAUAGACCAGGAGAGGCUGCGGGCCUUUGUCACAAGUGUCGACGCUUGUCGAGGCAGGCGCGUCCGGCCCGGUGUCCCUAUACUGGGGCGCCGACGCUAGGCGCGUCCCGUCAUCAACGCUGUCGAGUGAAACGACCCGUCUUGAAACACGGACCAAGGAGUGCAACUCUGAUGCGAGUCAUUGAGUGGCAAACUCAAAGGCGCAACGAAAGUAAUUGUGUGGGAUGCGCUAACACGCUGCACCACCGCCCGGUUCUGACCGUUGGUCUGGAUCGAGGCUGAGCAUCAUGGCUGCGACCCGAAAGAUGGUGAACUAUGCCUGACUAGGGUGAAGCCAGAGGAAACUCUGGUGGAGGCUCGUAGACAUUCUGACGUGCAAAUCGAUGUUCAAAGUUGGGUAUAGGGGCGAAAGACUAAUCGAACCAUCUAGUAGCUGGUUCCCUC